rnacentral:snRNA from 1 species
UUCGAUCCAUUAGGUUCUUCA